rnacentral:rRNA from 1 species
GGUGCUACCGUUGGUCGGGCAAUAGUCUGUACUGGCGUGUGGAAUUUCUACCUUCUGGGAACCAUCAUGUUAUUAAUUUAGCGUGGUGGGAAACCAGGACCUUUACCUUGAAAAAUUAGAGUGUUCAAAGCAGGCUUACGUCUGAAUACAUUAGCAUGGAAUAAUAAAAUAGGACGGUGGUCCUGUUUUGUUGGUUUCUGAAUCACCGUAAUGAUUAAUAGGGAUAGU